rnacentral:rRNA from 1 species
ACGCUCGACACCUACGGGGGCAGCAGUAGGGAAUCUUCCACAAUGGACGCAAGUCUGAUGGAGCAACGCCGCGUGAGUGAAGAAGGUCUUCGGAUCGUAAAACUCUGUUGUUAGAGAAGAACACGAGUGAGAGUAACUGUUCAUUCGAUGACGGUAUCUAACCAGCAAGUCACGGCUAACUACGUGCCAACAGCCGCGGUAAUCUGAGCGGGCUGGCAAGGC